AGGGGUGGCCGGUUUCUCUUAAGUUUUAGGUCUUCCUUCCUUAGUUCUUCUCAUCUUCAAGAGGUAAUGAUGUCAAAGCUUGGAAAAGGCUCAUCAAUUUAAUUAGAUUCUUAUCCAUGGAUUUAGAUCGGGAAGAGCGGGGACAAUUCAUUGCAAGGCCGCAACCAGUAUUUGAAUCUCUUCCUAACCCUCUCUUUAAUACUGAAUCAGUUGACACACACAUCACAACACACAACACAAUGACUGAUAGUAAACAUAGAAAGACACCAACUAGGACUUUGCAUGAUUACCUUCACCCAACACACACUUCCACGCCAUCUUGCAUUAUGUUCCCACCCAAUAUGCCACGCAUGGAUCUAAAAUCGGGAAUGACUCAACUUCUUCCCAUUUUUCACGGACUUGAAAAUGAGAAUCCAUACGUGCAUAUUCUAGAAUUUGAAGAAGUGGUUACAAUCUUUCACAAUCAACGAUGUACAAUGAAUACAAUCAGGCUUAAAUUUUUCCCAUUUUCACCUAAAGAACGAGCAAAAAGCUAGUUGUACUCAUUGAAAUCACGUUCGAUUGGGACUUGGGUUGAAAUGACUCAAGCAUUCUUUGAUAAGUACUUUCCCCACCACAAAACAAUUGCAUUGAAAAAGCAAAUCUCUUCUUUUACUCAAAAGGAGAGUGAAACUUUAUAUUAAGCGUGGGAAAGGUACAAAGAAUUGCAAGCUCUCUGUCCCUACCACGGUUAUGAAAGUUGGUGCAUUGUGAGAUAUUUUUAUGAGGGAUUAUCACCUAGGGAGCGCCAAUUUGUUGAAAUGAUGUGCAAUGGUGAAUUUUUGCAAAAAGAUCCGGAUGAGGCUAUAGACUACUUAGAUGACUUAGCUGAGAAAGCCCAUACAUGGAUUGGACCUAGUGCUUCUGCUAGUACUAAUAGGUCACGACCAAUAGGAAACCCAACUAGCAUAGGCAUUUACUAUCUUAGAGAGGAAGACAACCUUAGAGCUAAGGUAGAAUCUCUCGCUAGAGAAAUUGAAGCUCUACGUGCUAAGGAAUAAAAAACAACCAGACCUAUUUCCCAUGUUGAGCCUUCAGAGCCUUGUUUUAUGUGUGGAGAGAGUGAUCACCUGGCACAAGAAUGUGCCACUUAUGCUGAGAUGAGGGGACUUUAUGAGGAACACUGUAAUGCUUUAGGCAUAUAUCAAAAACCUUAUACUCCCUACUCCGAAUCCUAUAAUCUAGGGUGGCGGAAUCACCCCAAUCUCACUUGAAAAUUUGAAAACCAAAAACCUGUCCAAUUCCAUAGAGCUUACAAUGCACCUUUACAUCAACCCACAUCCUCUAGAAAUUCCUUAGAAGAUACUUUACAUACAUUUAUUCAGGCACAUGGUAAAACAAAUAAAAAAUUUGAGGCUAUGAUUGACCAGUUAGUUAAGGAAAAUAAAGAAAUCAAAACUCAUAUGUCCAAACUAACUAACGCCUUAGCUGUAGGGAAGCGGGGAAAUUUCCAACACAAGCUCAACCAAACCCUAGAGGAUAGCAUAUCGCGCAAACCUCGGGCUUCAGAGAAAACAACCUUAAGGAAGUUAAUGCUAUAACUACUCGGUUCGGUAAGGUUAUUGAACCAACCCCCAAACCUAGGGAAAUUGAAAAGGUGCCUAGCAAUACAGAAGAGAGAACCCCUAACGAGGAGGUGGUGAAAAAUCCAUCUAGAGUGUCAUUCCCUCAAGCACUUAAAUCUACCUCGAAAUUCGUCGGGCAACAUAGUGAACUCCUAGAGCAUCUUAAACAAGUAAAAAUCAAUCUGGCACUCUUGCACGUGAUUUCCUAGGUCCCUACAUAUGCUAAAGUCCUUAAGGAUUUGUGUACUAUAAAAAGAAAGCACCAUGUCAAGAAAAUCGCUUUCUUAACGGAACAUGUGAGUGCCGUAAUCGAACAAAAAGUCCCGUCAAAGUAUAAAGACCCUGGUUGUCCUAUUGUUUCUUGUGUCAUAGGGAACCAUGAGAUUUCACAAGCUCUUCUCGACUUAGGGGCUAGUAAAAAUAUCAUGCCUUAUGCUAUAUACUUGGCGUUAGGCCUAGGUGAGAUCAAACCUACUUCUGUGGUCCUGUAAUUACCUAAUCGAUCUACCAUUAGACCUAAGGGAGUAGUUGAGGAUGUAUUGGUACAAAUUGACAAAUUUUGCUACUCCAUGGAUUUCUUGGUAUUGGACUUGAAAGUUGAUGUGAAUGUCAACUCCAAAGUUCCCAUUAUUCUUGAUAGACCUUUUUUUGCCAUAGCUAAUGCUCUUACUAAUUGUAGGAAUGGUCUAAUGAAACUAUCAUUUGGGAACAUGACCCUGGAGACGUCAACAUCUUUCACAUCAUGAAGCAACUUGAGGAGGAUGACGAGUGUCAUUAAAUAUUCAUGAUUGAUGCACUCGUUCAGGAGGAAGCACCUGCGAUUAUUGAUCCCAACCCUUUAAAUUCUUUCUUUUUAAAUUUUGAAAUUCCCACAGGGUACGAUAAUGGAGAAUAUGCUGAUAUUUGUGUUACUUUUGAUUAUUUUCAGUAUUAUGGGACACCAUCGGUGAUCAUUUCCACUGAGCUUGGUGCAAUGCAAAGAGUGUUAACAAUGCCCUAGUUGGAUGUGGGCUGAAAAACGCAAUAUUGGGUCAAGCUAACGAUAAGAAACAAAGGCGCUGCUUAGGAGGCAACCCAAGGGAAAUUCUUUUUCCCUCUC